GCUAUGCCCGAUCUCGUCUGAUCUCGGAAGCUAAGCAGGUUUGGGCCUGGUUAGUACUUGGAUGGGAGACCGCCUGGGAAUACCAGGUGCUGUAAGCUU
rnacentral:rRNA from 10 species